rnacentral:rRNA from 1 species
UACGAAGGGGGCUAGCGUUGCUCGGAAUUACUGGGCGUAAAGGGCGCGUAGGCGGCACUGUUAGUCAGGCGUGAAAGUCCUGGGCUCAACCUGGGAACUGCGCUUGAUACGGCAGAGCUAGAGGAUGGAAGAGGCUCGCGGAAUUCCCAGUGUAGAGGUGAAAUUCGUAGAUAUUGGGAAGAACACCGGUGGCGAAGGCGGUUCUCUGGGCCUGUACUGACGCUGAGGAGCGAAAGCGUGGGGAGCGAACAGG